CUCAAAUUAAAUUUACACUUUAUUUUGCGACUACUUUUAUAAUCCUUUCCUAAAAAGAAAAUAAUUCCCGUCCCAAUUGUUAAAAACUAAGCCUAAUCACUAACUUAAUAUUUCCAAAUGCUUAAAAAUAACAAAAAAAUCGUAUGAAUCCUAAACGCUGCAGCCAAACCUAAACAAUUGCUAUCAACUGAAAUCUAAACGCUGUUUCUAAACAAUUGCUAUCAACGGAAACCUAAACGAUUGCUAUCAGCGGAAACCUAAACGAUGUAGCUAAACGAAUUCGCUGCUGCUAUCGACUGAAACCUAAACAAUGACGAUGCUGCUAUCGCCUGAAGCCUUAACGUUGUCAUCGACUGAAAUAUCUGCUAACAACACUUCUCAUUGUGACUAUUCACUUACGUCUCCUGGCUGCAAUUAUCCUUACAAUUUGGAUUGACACGUGCUGUAGCUACUGGUAAGACUCAAAGCCUUUCUGAAAUGAAUUUCAUGUCAAGUUCUUUUAUCAUUGUUUUAACUCGAUUUGAUGACAUCAAAGGAAAUUCUAGGAUUGAUGAUUCAGACAAAUGCAAUGGUCAUUCUUCUAACUUGAUAUAUAUUCAGGGCAGCUAGCAAAGGUUCCAAUUUUGGCUUUCUAAGGUAAACUCUUAUGUGAAGGAUAAUGGAAUUAAAGUGAGCUCAAAUGUUGUUUUGCUUGCAUAUGAUCACCUUCGCUUAUUUGCAGUCAAAGGAACUGAUGCUGAAAAGACCAACUCUAGCGGGGCUUUCAUAGAAAAUGGUGCACACUACAAGAAAACUAACAAUUCUCAUCUCAAAAUCCAGCAGCAGAAGCAAGAAGAUUUCGACCGAAACCUCAGGAACGAAUUCAGGUCAGAGGAGUUCAAGUUCAUUUUAUAACUAGACUGAUCAGACAAACAUCAGCCAUAGAAUAGCUAUGAGAAGCUGUGCAUGGAGGAGGCAAUGCAGAAAUUUGAUGAGCAACUAAUAGAUGUCAAAGUAGAGGAACUUACAGAAGCGACGACAACUUCUAAUCCACAAACGAAGAAGCCAAUCAAGCUAAGUAAAAUAUCAGCUGAGCAAAAUUUGAAUGUAUUUCUUUUGUAGACAAUGAUAAUAGUCCCUUUUUAUAUGAAUAUAAUCCCUUUUAUGAAAGAAAUUCAGAUUCAAAUUA